rnacentral:rRNA from 1 species
UACGGGGGGGGCAAGCGUUGUUCGGAAUUACUGGGCGUAAAGAGUGUGUAGGCGGUGCUCUAAGUUCGGUGUGAAAUCUCCCGGCUUAACUGGGAGGGUGCGCCGGAAACUGGAGUGCUCGAGCGUGGGAGAGGAAAGCGGAAUUCCUGGUGUAGCGGUGAAAUGCGUAGAUAUCAGGAGGAACACCUGCGGUGUAGACGGCUUUCUGGACCAUUGCUGACGCUGAGACACGAAAGCGUGGGUAGCAAACAGG